rnacentral:rRNA from 1 species
GGUUAAGCGACUAAGCGUACACGGUGGAUGCCCUGGCAGUCAGAGGCGAUGAAGGACGUGCUAAUCUGCGAUAAGCGUCGGUAAGGUGAUAUGAACCGUUAUAACCGGCGAUUUCCGAAUGGGGAAACCCAGUGUGUUUCGACACACUAUCAUUAACUGAAUCCAUAGGUUAAUGAGGCGAACCGGGGGAACUGAAACAUCUAAGUACCCCGAGGAAAAGAAAUCAACCGAGAUUCCCCCAGUAGCGGCGAGCGAACGGGGAGCAGCCCAGAGCCUGAAUCAGUGUGUGUGUUAGUGGAAGCGUCUGGAAAGGCGUGCGAUACAGGGUGACAGCCCCGUACACAAAAAUGCACAUAUUGUGAGCUCGAUGAGUAGGGCGGGACACGUGGUAUCCUGUCUGAAUAUGGGGGGACCAUCCUCCAAGGCUAAAUACUCCUGACUGACCGAUAGUGAACCAGUACCGUGAGGGAAAGGCGAAAAGAACCCCGGCGAGGGGAGUGAAAAAGAACCUGAAACCGUGUACGUACAAGCAGUGGGAGCACGCUUAGGCGUGUGACUGCGUACCUUUUGUAUAAUGGGUCAGCGACUUAUAUUCUGUAGCAAGGUUAACCGAAUAGGGGAGCCGAAGGGAAACCGAGUCUUAACUGGGCGUUAAGUUGCAGGGUAUAGACCCGAAACCCGGUGAUCUAGCCAUGGGCAGGUUGAAGGUUGGGUAACACUAACUGGAGGACCGAACCGACUAAUGUUGAAAAAUUAGCGGAUGACUUGUGGCUGGGGGUGAAAGGCCAAUCAAACCGGGAGAUAGCUGGUUCUCCCCGAAAGCUAUUUAGGUAGCGCCUCGUGAAUUCAUCUCCGGGGGUAGAGCACUGUUUCGGCAAGGGGGUCAUCCCGACUUACCAACCCGAUGCAAACUGCGAAUACCGGAGAAUGUUAUCACGGGAGACACACGGCGGGUGCUAACGUCCGUCGUGAAGAGGGAAACAACCCAGACCGCCAGCUAAGGUCCCAAAGUCAUGGUUAAGUGGGAAACGAUGUGGGAAGGCCCAGACAGCCAGGAUGUUGGCUUAGAAGCAGCCAUCAUUUAAAGAAAGCGUAAUAGCUCACUGGUCGAGUCGGCCUGCGCGGAAGAUGUAACGGGGCUAAACCAUGCACCGAAGCUGCGGCAGCGACGCUGAUGCGUUGUUGGGUAGGGGAGCGUUCUGUAAGCCUGUGAAGGUGUGCUGUGAGGCAUGCUGGAGGUAUCAGAAGUGCGAAUGCUGACAUAAGUAACGAUAAAGCGGGUGAAAAGCCCGCUCGCCGGAAGACCAAGGGUUCCUGUCCAACGUUAAUCGGGGCAGGGUGAGUCGACCCCUAAGGCGAGGCCGAAAGGCGUAGUCGAUGGGAAACAGGUUAAUAUUCCUGUACUUGGUGUUACUGCGAAGGGGGGACGGAGAAGGCUAUGUUGGCCGGGCGACGGUUGUCCCGGUUUAAGCGUGUAGGCUGGUUUUCCAGGCAAAUCCGGAAAAUCAAGGCUGAGGCGUGAUGACGAGGCACUACGGUGCUGAAGCAACAAAUGCCCUGCUUCCAGGAAAAGCCUCUAAGCAUCAGGUAACAUCAAAUCGUACCCCAAACCGACACAGGUGGUCAGGUAGAGAAUACCAAGGCGCUUGAGAGAACUCGGGUGAAGGAACUAGGCAAAAUGGUGCCGUAACUUCGGGAGAAGGCACGCUGAUAUGUAGGUGAAGUCCCUUGCGGAUGGAGCUGAAAUCAGUCGAAGAUACCAGCUGGCUGCAACUGUUUAUUAAAAACACAGCACUGUGCAAACACGAAAGUGGACGUAUACGGUGUGACGCCUGCCCGGUGCCGGAAGGUUAAUUGAUGGGGUCAGCGCAAGCGAAGCUCUUGAUCGAAGCCCCGGUAAACGGCGGCCGUAACUAUAACGGUCCUAAGGUAGCGAAAUUCCUUGUCGGGUAAGUUCCGACCUGCACGAAUGGCGUAAUGAUGGCCAGGCUGUCUCCACCCGAGACUCAGUGAAAUUGAACUCGCUGUGAAGAUGCAGUGUACCCGCGGCAAGACGGAAAGACCCCGUGAACCUUUACUAUAGCUUGACACUGAACAUUGAGCCUUGAUGUGUAGGAUAGGUGGGAGGCUUAGAAGUGUGGACGCCAGUCUGCAUGGAGCCGACCUUGAAAUACCACCCUUUAAUGUUUGAUGUUCUAACGUUGACCCGUAAUCCGGGUUGCGGACAGUGUCUGGUGGGUAGUUUGACUGGGGCGGUCUCCUCCUAAAGAGUAACGGAGGAGCACGAAGGUUGGCUAAUCCUGGUCGGACAUCAGGAGGUUAGUGCAAUGGCAUAAGCCAGCUUGACUGCGAGCGUGACGGCGCGAGCAGGUGCGAAAGCAGGUCAUAGUGAUCCGGUGGUUCUGAAUGGAAGGGCCAUCGCUCAACGGAUAAAAGGUACUCCGGGGAUAACAGGCUGAUACCGCCCAAGAGUUCAUAUCGACGGCGGUGUUUGGCACCUCGAUGUCGGCUCAUCACAUCCUGGGGCUGAAGUAGGUCCCAAGGGUAUGGCUGUUCGCCAUUUAAAGUGGUACGCGAGCUGGGUUUAGAACGUCGUGAGACAGUUCGGUCCCUAUCUGCCGUGGGCGCUGGAGAACUGAGGGGGGCUGCUCCUAGUACGAGAGGACCGGAGUGGACGCAUCACUGGUGUUCGGGUUGUCAUGCCAAUGGCACUGCCCGGUAGCUAAAUGCGGAAGAGAUAAGUGCUGAAAGCAUCUAAGCACGAAACUUGCCCCGAGAUGAGUUCUCCCUGACUCCUUGAGAGUCCUGAAGGAACGUUGAAGACGACGACGUUGAUAGGCCGGGUGUGUAAGCGCAGCGAUGCGUUGAGCUAACCGGUACUAAUGAACCGUGAGGCUUAACCUU